CGAACAUUAUGAGCUGACCUAAAAGUGGCACUAGCACCGCGGCCCAAGCUUGUCUUCCACAGAAACAAGGACAAUGAAGAUGGGAAAGGUGGAGAGUUUUGUCUACGGUCAACCCAGCUGUUCAGUGGAGGAGCCGAAACCAGAGUUGGUUGAUCACAAUGGCAUUAAAAUGCAUAGAGAAGGAAACUGCUGAUGUGUUCACGCUGACUGCCUCGAGGAGGAGCACGAUCUG